AUCUUCAGGUGAAGAACAUCACUGAAUCAGACCUCGGCCUGUAUUACUGCGCUGUACAUGAGAGAAAGGAUUCCAAAGAUAAAACUGGCAUUCUAAAGGAUAUUUAUCAUUAUGGAAAGACGACCACUCGACUUACUUUCCUUGACAUGACUGAUCCUUUUGUUGAUCUCCCACAAACCACUCCCGCCCCUCCUGUAUCAGACUGUAGCGUCUGCUGGAAGCUGCUGGUCAGUGUGUGUCCUGUGUGUGUUCUCCUCACCUCCACCUGUGUGUGCUGCAUCUGCAGAUACACAACUAAAGCUGAUUGUAAUGCAGAUCAACGAGGGAAAAUGACACUGAGAAAAAGUAAUGAGAUUGGAGACAAUGAUGUCUGCUAUGCGUCACUGGACAUCCCGGGUGGUGGAAAGAAAAGACUGAAAAAGAGGACUGCUGAAAGAUCUGAGUUGUGCACAUAUUCUGAAGUGAAAGUUGAGAAAAUGUAAAACUACUCAUAUCUAUGCCGGAUGUUCAAGGA